rfam:Bifidobacterium actinocoloniiforme DSM 22766 Contig1, whole genome shotgun sequence.
UUGGUUCCGGUUCACGUCGGCCAUAGGGGCAGGCGACCCGGAUCC